rnacentral:rRNA from 1 species
GCCCCAGUUCGGAUUGCAGGCUGCAACCCGCCUGCAUGAAGCCGGAAUCGCUAGUAAUCGCGGAUCAGAAUGCCGCGGUGAAUACGUUCCCGGGUCUUGUACACACCGCCCGUCACACCAUGAGAGUCGGGAAUGCCCGAAGUCAGUGGCCCAACCGGAAGGGGGGAGCUGCCGAAGGCAGGCCCGGUGACUGGGGUGAAGUCGUAACAAGGUACC